UGGGGUGUCGCCAAGUGGCAAGGCAGCUGAUUUUGGUUCCGCUAUUCGGAGGUUCGAAUCCUUCCACCCCAG
rnacentral:tRNA from 1 species